rnacentral:rRNA from 1 species
GACGAACGCUGGCGGCGUGCUUAACACAUGCAAGUCGAGCGGUAAGGCCCUUUCGGGGGUACACGAGCGGCGAACGGGUGAGUAACACGUGGGUGACCUGCCCUCAGCUCUGGGAUAAGCCUGGGAAACCGGGUCUAAUACUGGAUAUGACUCCAUGACGCAUGUUGUGGGGUGGAAAGCCUUGUGCGGCUGAGGAUGGGGCCCGCGGCCUAUCAGCUUGUUGGUGGGGGAUGGCCUACCAAGGCGACGACGGGUAGCCGGCCUGAGAGGGCGACCGGCCACACUGGGACUGAGACACGGGCCCAGACUCCUACGGGAGGCAGCAGUGGGGAAUCUUGCGCAAUGGGCGAAAGCCUGACGCAGCGACGCCGCGUGAGGGAUGACGGCCUGGUGUAAC